UCUGGCCCCGGGUGUUUUCCAGCAUACACAGGCUGACUCCAGAUUGAGAUGGGUGGAGCGAACAGGGGACAGGUUACAUCACAUGGGAGACAGGACAACUAGUUUUUAAAUGCCCACAAAGUGGUGGAAUUGCCUGCGAUGCACAGACCAGGUGGAGGGGAGCAGCACAUCUACGCCCCACCUGGGCGAGCCCACGGUGGUGAGGGAUCAGCAGGACAGGGACAGCGCACAGCGUGCAGAAUGCUCCAGUGCACAGGAGUGACUGGCUGCAGACCAGCUGGGACACCGUGGUGGCCUCUUCCAAGAGUGAGGAGAAGGUGGACACACGAAGCCAACCUCGUCCCUCUGCAGGAUGCUCUGGGUCGGCCCCCACGCCCCUCAGGGCUGUCCAGGCUGGGCAGCCUGCCCCGCCCUCCUGCCCUCUGCCUGGCGGUCACAGUGCACUUUGCCCUCUGCCUGUGGGAGGCCCAGUCUUCCUCCCGCUCAGGUCUGGAAGCUCUUCGGCUGCAGAAGUUCAUUGCCAAAGAUUCAACAGAGACACCGAGCACAAGGGGCUGAAGCCCAGCAGCCAAAGGCCACAUUGUGGCUCUGUGGCCUUCGUCCCUCCUGUUGCCAGAGUCCACCUGUCUCAAGCCAAAGAUGAGCCAGCAACUCCACCGGGAGCCUGAGAAACAGAGGGACAGGGUGACCCUCGAGAGCACUUGGCCCACAGAGCCAGUGCGGUCCACACAGGGCCCUGGGCUGGCGAGUUCAGGAGAAGCCUUCUUGGGCCUGGGAGGGAGGCAGGGAAGGGGCCAAGGUCCCUUCCCUUGCUGCCCCACCCUGGCCACCCAGACUCUGGCCCUGAGGAGUGGCUGGGGAGAGGUGGCAUGCUCUAGCCGGGCACUAGCCCAAGGCCACCUGCCCAGGGGACAUGCACGCUGGUGGCCCUGCCAUCUCCCCAGGCUUCCUUGAUGCAACGAGUGGCGGCCUGCAGAGGCCGGUGGUCUGUGGCAGGCCAGGUGGGAGGGGGAGGACGACGGGACCAGGCGAUGGCCGCGUAGGGAGGGUACCUAGGCCGGGGCCAGCGCCCUCUUAAGCUCACAGGCCAAAGCUGCUCACAUGUGUUCAACCAUCUGCUUCAAAUUGAAGUAAAAGCCCGACAUGUAAAGCACACUCCUGCUGUGCCCAGCGGAUUCUGUGGCUGGGAAGCUGGGGACAGGGUGGCCUCAUCUGAAGGUGGAGGGCCCGAGGGUGGGGAGCAUGAGGGCAGAGGAUCCACGUGGCCUUGGCCAGGAGUGUCAGGAGGGCAGGAUGCCUGACCCGGGUGAGGAGCCCCACGCUUUUGCCUCGCAACCUUCAGAGGGUCCUUUGCUAGAGACUGAGCCCAGGAGACCAGCCAAUCCGUGACAGUGCCCGUCCUCAGAUCAGGAUGGCCUCACUUAGGACCCUGUACUCGAAAACCGUUCCUGGUCCUAUUGCCAGGCCCAGUCCACCCUCCUUGGGUGGCCUGAGACCAGACAGUGAAAGCCCACCGCAAGGAGGGAACCGAGGUGCGAUAUAGGAAAGGACUGCCCAG
rnacentral:lncRNA from 1 species